rnacentral:rRNA from 1 species
CGAAGCUAACGCAUUAAGUAUUCCCGCCUGGGGAGUACGGUCGCNAGGCUGAAACUCAAAGGAAUUGACGGGGGCCCGCACAAGCCGGUGGAGCAUGUGGUUUAAUUCGACGCAACGCGAAGAACCUUACCGGGACUCGAAAUUUUGUUGACAGUCUCAGAGAUGAGAUCUUCCCGCAAGGGACAGCAGAAUAGGUGCUGCAUGGCUGUCGUCAGCUCGUGUCGUGAGAUGUUGGGUUAAGUCCCGCAACGAGCGCAACCCUCACCCUUAGUUGCUCGUCCGUAAGGAAAGCACCCUAAGGGAACUGCCUCGGAUAACGGGGAGGAAGGUGGGGAUGACGUCAAGUCCUCAUGGCCUUUAUGCCCAGGGCUACACACGUGCUACAAUGGUCGGUACAAACCGUCGCUUACCCGCCAAGGGGAAGCCAAUCGGAAAAAACCGAUCUCAGUUCGGAUUGCAGGCUGCAACUCGCCUGCAUGAAGCUGGAAUCGCUAGUAAUCACGUAUCAGAACGACGUGGUGAAUACGUUCCCGGGCCUUGUACACACCGCCCGUCACAUCACGAAAGUGGUUUGUACUAGAAGUCGCAAUUCUAACCGCAAGGAAGAUAGCGCCCAAGGUAUGAAUCAUGAUUGGGGUGAAGUCGUAANCAAGGUACC